rnacentral:tRNA from 1 species
GGGGCCAUAGCUCAGCUGGGAGAGCGCCUGCCUUGCACGCAGGAGGUCAGCGGUUCGAUCCCGCUUGGUUCCACCA